UAGGUGCACCUGCGGAAGGAUCAUUA
rnacentral:ncRNA from 2 species